rnacentral:lncRNA from 1 species
AUGGACUUAAAAGCAACUGUCAGUUCUGUCCCUAAAGACAAGCUUUGGCAAAAACUGCAGAGCCUAGUUAAUACCAGGGGACUGGUGCACUGGAUUCUGGAUCUAACAGACAGACACACACACACUGGAUUCUGGACCGAAAGGUUAGAUAUAAGCAAGGUUCCAAUGAAAGCAAAAUUCACUGGGUGAAGGAAAAAGGAAUCCUUGAAGGUGUUGCUUUAAAAAUUGCUUGACAAGGUUGCAGAAAUAGAAAAGUGAACUAGUGUUGAUGAGGAGACAGUUUAAGGCUGCUUGUUAGCAUAUGCCAAAAGCCUCAAUGUGUGCUCAGAGGUCCCAUCAUUAAUUAAUACAAAGCCAAGUGCCAAAGCAGAUGAAGCCGAGUCAGCUUUGAGUUUUCUUGACUCCAAUGGUUGAUCAAAUUACUUCAAACUGAAUUAAAGUUGUC